CCUACUUCGAGCACGUGCUUAGCGAGGUGACGAUUCUCCUUUCGCUGUCUUUAUUACAACACCCGACAACCUAAUUCUGAUGACUUAUAAACAGUACAUUCCUAUGUUAAACUCACCGGAAUUAUUUGGAUCGGGUUAGAGUCCAGCCGGCGAAACGACACUAAGGACAAAAUUGGUAGAUGAUCUCAGGAAGAGUGAACGAGGAACCUUCAUAACGUAAAAACUAAUGAUUCCAGCUGAAAAGCAGCCAUGAAGUUUCAUUUUAAGCAGUCCCUCACUAAGCCCUUCUUGACUCUACCAGAAGAAUGAUCUACACUUUUCAAAUAUAACUUAUAGCGUGGUACAUUAUGGGCUUCCACAGGAACAAAUCAUUACCCAAAAUGGUAAUCCUCAGCCGGAAUGGACAUCGAAAGGAUUGGUGUUUACACAAGUUGUAGGCUUUGCGAAGAGGCAGAAGAAACUAACAAAAAGGUUAGAGUAUGGACAUCAUCUGCUUGAGAAAAUGUUUGGAGAAAUACAACAGAAUUCUGGAUGAAAUGUUAUCUCUACACCUACAGCAGACAAAACAGAAACACAUUUGGUGACAACAAGUUAUCUCUUUCCAAAGAAAAUGGAACCAACCAUCAGGGGUGGAUGAGUGUACAAGGUGUCCAUCUCUUGGGUCAUAUCAGACUAAGAAGAGAAAGAUUUUGUUGGUUUUGUAGGUUAUUUAUAAUCAUUUCGUAUAGACAACCAGAAAUCCUUUCAUCAGCAUUAUCCAUAAAGAGAAAACAAAAGUAUAGACGACAGCAGAGGUACAGUGCACAGAUACUACAUACAAUUUGCAAAGAGGCAAAGGAAACCGAAACACAUUUACUGACAGAGUGGAUUUAGAUCUGCUGGAGAAAAUGUACGGGGAUGUACAACACGAUUCUGAAUGAUAUGGAACCAUCAGAGGCUGUGGUGGACGAGUGGUUAUGGCCUCUGGCUCAUUUGAUUACUACAGUUUUCCCCUAGAUUCAUUGAAUGUUAUAAAU